rnacentral:lncRNA from 1 species
GUAUUUUUCAGUAUCAUUUGUGGAGCUUUUUAAAAUGCACAACUCCAAGCCAGACCUGUGGAAUCAGAAUUUCCUGAGGAGGAUGUGAGCAUCCCCGCCGGUGCGGACUGGCUCUCAAUCACAGUUCCUUUAUCCCGGUGCCAGAAGGAGCAUCCCGAUUAUUUUCGAAACGAGAGAAAAAGGAAAUGAAAACUAACUUCCGGCCCUCUCGGGAUCCAGACCACAGCUCUGGACUCAGGCAGCAGCUCAUCA